AGAGUUUGAUCAUGGCUCAGAGCUAACGCUGGCGGCAGGCCUAACACAUGCAAGUUGAGCGGACGUAGCAAUACGUCAGCGGCAGACGGGAGAGUAACACGUGGGAACGCGCCCUUCGGUUCGGAAUAACUCAGGGAAACUUGAGCUAAUACCGGAUACGCCCUAACGGGGAAAGAUUUAUCGCCGAAGGAACGGCCCGCGUCCGAUUAGCUUGUUGGUGAGGUAAUGGCUCACCAAGGCGACGAUCGGUAGCUGGUCUAAGAGGAUGAUCAGCCUCACUGGGACUGAGACACGGCCCAGACUCCUACGGGAGGCAGCAGUGGGGAAUAUUGGACAAUGGGCGCAAGCCUGAUCCAGCCAUGCCGCGUGGGUGAUGAAGGCCCUAGGGUU
rnacentral:rRNA from 1 species